rnacentral:misc_RNA from 1 species
AAGUCGUAAGAAGGUGAACCUGCGGAAGGAUCAUUAACACGUAUCCAAACGUUAACCCCCUGUGAACCUUCAAUGUGCUCGUACACUUUGUCAAAGUCCCUGGUAAAUCAUCGCAACAGUUUGAUUCUGGGACUUCCUCAAAGAGUGUGCAUGUUGCGUGAGGCAAGUGGCCUGGCAUUCCCAAGCAUUUAAUGUCUGAAAGUGUCAUUAGCUGUGUAAGGAUGACGUAGUAACGAUCGUUGGAGGCCGACACGGCCGACGACCGGGUCACUGGCGCAAGCUUCUUUAUCACCACUUGAUACAUGACAGACGCGCCAGCGCUUAAUUGUGUGGCGACCAAAAACCGAACAAUUGUUAACAAUGGAUAUCUUGGUUCUCA